UACGUAGGGUGCGAGCGUUGUCCGGAAUUAUUGGGCGUAAAGGGCUCGUAGGCGGUUUGUCGCGUCGGGAGUGAAAACACACAGCUUAACUGUGUGCUUGCUUCCGAUACGGGCAGACUAGAGGUAUGCAGGGGAGAACGGAAUUCCUGGUGUAGCGGUGAAAUGCGCAGAUAUCAGGGGGAACACCGGUGGCGAGGCGGUUCUCUGGGCAUUACCUGACGCUGAGGAGCGAAAGUGUGGGGAGCGAACAGG
rnacentral:rRNA from 1 species